rnacentral:rRNA from 1 species
UACGGAGGGUGCAAGCGUUAUCCGGAUUCACUGGGUUUAAAGGGUGCGUAGGUGGGCAGGUAAGUCAGUGGUGAAAUCUCCGGGCUUAACUCGGAACUGCCGUUGAUACUAUCUGUCUUGAAUAUCGUGGAGGUUAGCGGAAUAUGUCAUGUAGCGGUGAAAUGCUUAGAUAUGACAUAGAACACCCAUUGCGAAGGCAGCUAACUACACGAUCAUUGACACUGAGGCACGAAAGCGUGGGGAGCAAACAGG